AUGAUGUAUGAAAGAAUAGAAGGUUAGCACUCCCCUUGACAAGGAUGUAAGAGGCCCUUGGGCCUAACAACACUCAUACGGUUAAGACAUUGCCACCUACUUUGUGGCAUCUAACUAUUUUAUUUA